rnacentral:rRNA from 1 species
AACGAACGCUGGCGGCAUGCCUAACACAUGCAAGUCGAACGCUCGCAAGAGAGUGGCGGACGGGUGCGUAACACGUGGGAACCUGCCUUUGGGUACGGAACAACACCGGGAAACUGGUGCUAAAUACCGUAUAAUGUCUACGGACCAAAGAUUUAUCGCCUGAAGAGGGGCCCGCGUUGGAUUAGCUUGUUGGUGAGGUAAAGGCUCACCAAGGCGAUGAUCCAUAGCUGGUCCGAGAGGAUGAUCAGCCACACUGGGACUGAGACACGGCCCAGACUCCUACGGGAGGCAGCAGUGGGGAAUAUUGGACAAUGGGCGAAAGCCUGAUCCAGCAAUGCCGCGUGAGUGAAGAAGGCCUUAGGGUUGUAAAGCUCUUUCGUCCACGACGAUAAUGACGGUAGCGGAAGAAGAAGCCCCGGCUAACUCCGUG